rnacentral:lncRNA from 1 species
UAAGGGAAUAAUCUCAAAUCUACGAAAACUAGGUAAAGAAUUGGUCGCCCGAGCAAGUGAAUGAGCAACCAUAUUCGCUUGUCUCCUAACAAACUUCACUUCAAAGUUUAUACACGAUAACAUAAUUUGGAUAAUAUCAGCAACAAUUAAACUAAAUUCCGAAUUACCACUACGCCUCGUUCGAAUAGCUUCAGUCAACACAUGUGAGUCGCUUUCAAAUUGAACCCUA